CACAUCGCCCAGUGAAGCGGCUUCUUCGAAAUGGAGCUCUCCGAGUCCGGUAUCGUGAAUGUGGUGCACGACGAGAAGGCCGGCAUAUUAUUGGUGACGCCGCUUCGUCAGGGCUAUACACGUCUCGAGUUGACCGACUGCUGCCUGCUUGACGAGAACAGUGUCCUGUCCAUCUCCGUAGUGGGCAUCGGCUCCAUCAGUGUGGUCAGCAUGGAUCGGGUGGAGCGCACGAACUCCAUCGAAGCGAUUGUGAAACUCUUCGACACCAACGACAAUUUACUGGACGUGGAUCCCAACAAUCUGGCUGUCUACGACCUUUCCGAGGCGGUCUUUGAUCCGACUAUAUUGAGCGUGCGUCUGGACGAGCAGCGCCAUCUCGAGCCAGGCCAUAUACGGUACAGCAUCACUGGCAACACUAUCGGGGAAACCAAGAUAGUCUUCCAGGCCGGCAAGGGGUCGCAGCAGGUGUUCAGCGCUUCGAUCCUUGUCCAGGCCUUUGCCCCGAUCCGCCUCAACCCGCGCGACUCCACACUCGUGCUGGUCAGCAGCAUCCAGAUCUACUACCAGGGCGGUCCCCAGCCCAAUACCAACGUGAUCCACACCGUGGAAAAAGAACAAGUCGCGUGUAGGUACCAAUCGAAGGUUCCUUUACGGACAUGAAUUAGGUGAAGUUGAUGGAUUUUUCUUCGAAUAUAGGCAGGAGCACGCGUGCGUGGUUUAAUUUGGCAGCGUCGAUCAACUUAUGUGCCGCGCAAAUUAGCAUAAGAAAAUUCAUGAGGCUGGCUGCCAUUUCAAGUUGCUUGUCGCGUUAUUUGUGUUAAAUGUGUUAAAAACUGGCUGCGUCGCCCACUUGAUGCGAUGCCAACUAAUUAACGAAAACAACGGAGUUUUAAAAAAUAAAAGCACUGUGCAAUGCUAGGGAUGCGAUGAUUGAAUAUUUGUAUUUAUCGAUAUAUCGAUUAUAUUAUUGUUUAAUUUGUGGGAACAAAGCUUGAAUUCUUCGAAAUUGUUCGACUUCUAGAUCGAAUUGCUUUUAAAUUGUUAUUAUCCGCCUUUUUGCCGCCCUUGUCUAUCGUUCCUGGGGAAGUCAGGUGUGUUUUCGAUACGAAAUCCAGGGGACGGAUUUUUUUUUAUACCCUGUACUCGAAGAGUAAAUAGGGUAUGUUGCAGUCGAAGGAAAUCGAUUGGCAAAAUACUGGAGUAGAAGUAUUUUUUUGUAGGUCUACAGGUGAAGAGGCAUGGUGAUCAACGGUGUCGAUGGGAGAGAGAGAGGAGAGUAAAAAAAAGACUCGAAAACAUUGCGGGAUCCACAAGCCAGCUCACCCACACCCUCAAAAAUGCCAUGCCAUGCCCUUGAACUUGGUUCAAUGGCAAUAGAAGAGAUGGGAUCAGCUGCAUCAAGAGGGACUGCAUAGACUCAGCUACGCUGAGCAUGCAGUUAGUGGAAGAAAAAAAUAUUUCGCAGCGUUAGAUUGUUUGUGUGUGUGACCGUGGAGAAAAAAAUCGGGACCAAAUCGGGAAAAAAAGAAAAUCAACAGACCGGCGGGACUACCUAGAGGACUUAUUUUUUUUGGAGUCUAAAUAAAAGGGAUUGAUUGAACCGGCUGGCCUCCCGUAUAUGGGCCAAAUUCCCAUUCCCUGGACCUCGGAAUAUUGGUCACACCCCUGCCCGGGCGCGAACCCGCCACAGCGGCACCAACAGCAACAGAUAAUUAAAUUAAAUAAAUACGCCCACAUAAAAUACAUGCAUGCAUACAUAAAACACAUGUACAUAUACAUAUGUAUGUAUAUUAAAUUGAAUAUUUAAUUUAUUGCCGUCCCCAUAUACAUAUAUAUAUUUUCUAACCGUAUUCCUGUAAACAUCUAAGUUUUAUAAUCUUAUAAAUUUUCCGGGAGUAGGCGGACGCGCCACAAAAACAUUAGUGCAGGAAACAAUAGUUAAGUAUGUGUUAAGUUUUUGAGUGAAAUUAUAACGUUUGAUAUGAA